CACAGUUUGCCCACCGGACGGCCCUGCUAGGUGGGAAGCUCCUUGCAGGCAGGAACCCCAUCUCCUUGACUUUACUUUGGAAUCCCCGCAGCCUCAUACGGGGCUGAGGCAGGUCCUUCCGUAAAAUGGAACUGAAUGAGCGGCGCUUAAUCCAUCCGCCAAAGGCCAGUCUCCCUUGGGUUUUCAACAGUUCAUUAGGGGGAACCAUCCUGUAAAAGGAAAGGAAAGGAAAGGAAAAUCCUUCCUUCUUCAAAUGAAUUCUCAAAAAUUACUUCUGAGAUGCAAAUGCUGCCUGAGUGUUUGAGCUCCGUGAGAGAGUCCACUUCCCAACUUGUUUUCAGUCUGCUGUUGGGUGCUACUGAAUUUCUUAAACAUUGUGUUUCUCCCUUAUCUGUGAAUUAGCCAUGUGUUCUUUGGAAUCUCUUCCUGGGUCUUCGUUAUUCUUCCUCAGUUAUUUAAGAACCUAGGGAAGGCCCGGCGUGGUGGCUCACGCCUGUAAUCCCAGUACUUUGGGAGGCCGAAGCGGGCGGAUCACCUGAGGCCGGGAGUUUGAGACCGGCCUGACCGACAUGGAGAAUCUAAAAAUGCAAAAUUAGCCGGGCGUGGUGGCGGGCGCCUGUAAUCCCAGCUACUCGGGAGACUGAGGCAAGAGAAUCGCUUAAACCUGGGAGGCGGAGGUUGCAGUGAGCCGAGAUUGCGCCAUUGCAUUCCAGCCUGGGCAACAAGAGCGAGACUCCGUUAAAAAAAAAAAAAAAAGAAAAGAAAAAGAAAAAACCCUAGGGAAAGGGUCACGAAGACUGCAUCAUCAAAUGACACCAUGAACUCCUCAAGGGUCUACCCAUUGUUUUAACUUACUGCCCAAAAGGUACUUCUCAUUCGAAUAGCCCCCAUUCUACAGUCAUCUCUAUCAAUCAUCAUGUCACUUGAUCAUGACAUCGUUCUAAGCACCUGUAACAUCCCAGACCCUGUCUGAAGCACCAGGAAUGCUGGGUGAGCGGGACAGAAGGGACCACAGAUCCUCACGUUGCCUUAUCAAGUUUAGACUCUAGUGGUCCCGAUGGCUGAUCUCAUGACAUUCAAAUAGGAGGCGAUCAUUUCCUUAAAUACAAACACGAGAUUGUCAAUAGUUAGGAUGUGCUUAUUUUUCCUCCAGGGCAUAAGAUUUUUUUUCUUGUAUGUAUUUCAUAUCCCUAGCUGGAGAAAUAUCAAAAGAAUCUGAAUAUCACCAUCUGGAAGUUGUGCCAUGGACUCCAGUGGGCAGGAUUCGAGCUGGGAUUCUCUUCUUCCUCUAGCAGUGUAUUUCUUCUGCUUAAAAUGAGCACAAACACAUCUAAUUCCCUAAUGGACCAACUCAGACCUAAAAGUCUCUUAUUCUUUGCCCGCCUUCCUCUACCCACAUGGAUUCCUGGGAUUCUCUAAAUGCAGAUGGCAAUGGGGAGGGCUGGGGAUUCCCAUCAAGGAUAUUUGAUCAUCGGUGACUUCACUUAACCAAUAAAUCAAACGUGUUGAAAUACACACAUGUCAG
rnacentral:lncRNA from 1 species